UACGGAGGGUGCAAGCGUUAUCCGGAUUCACUGGGUUUAAAGGGUGCGUAGGUGGGCAGGUAAGUCAGUGGUGAAAUCUCCGGGCUUAACCCGGAAACUGCCAUUGAUACUAUCUGUCUUGAAUACCGUGGAGGUGAGCGGAAUAUGUCAUGUAGCGGUGAAAUGCUUAGAUAUGACAUAGAACACCAAUUGCGAAGGCAGCUCACUACACGAAUAUUGACACUGAGGCACGAAAGCGUGGGGAGUCAAACAGG
rnacentral:rRNA from 1 species